GGCUGAGCACACAGCCUUGAGGGGCACCGGUGUUAAGGUUUCAACCCUGUCCAAGAGUGGGUCCGGUACUGCUUCAGAAAGAUCCCUGGACCAUCCCUUCCCCUGCCUGAGCUCAGCACUCAAGAGAACAGCUACCACACAAGAGCCAGAUGAGGACAGACCAGGGCUAUCAAGAAAAGAACAGGAAAAAGUAAAAUGUAAAAGGAAGCGUGGGUAAUUGGGAGAGUACUUGAAAGAGUACUGUGAGAGGCAGGAAAAGAGACAGGAAGAGGCAGAGAAAAGAAAUAAAGCCCUGCUCCAAAUGUCAGAGGAACAGAAGGGCAGAAUGCUGGACCUCAUUGGGAAAAUGGUGGAGCACAUGACAAAAAAUAAAUUGCUAAAUGAAGCAGGCUCAUUUUGUG